rnacentral:misc_RNA from 1 species
AACGGUCUAUACCUGCGGUACCUGCGGAAGGAUCAUUAUAAAAAUAUGGUCAAACCAUUCUCCUGUGAUUUACGUAACUGUGUAUACUUUGGCAGGCUUUGGGUCAUUUUCGAUCCAUCUUCUACGUUUGUGCUUACACGCGCGAAUGUCUGAAGCUGGCCUGCCAGAGGUUUUCAAUAAACACACACGUUUAAACUACAGUCUGAAAAUCUCUUUCGAGAGAAUAAAAACAAAUAUAAA